rnacentral:misc_RNA from 1 species
GUCGAGUCACUGGUCGACAUGAUCUCGACCAAUGGGUGACAAUAUACUCGAUGUCCAAGGCAAUGCAUCCCAACAAGUGGGGAGUUCGAUUUGGUUGGGUUAAACCAACCAAAUAGAACGAUCUGCGGCAGCAUCGAUAGUGACGUGAUUGGCCUUGUUAAUCUUAAAACAUUGGGCAAUUUCGUUGCGUCUUUGUUGUUGUAUGCUGGUAUCGUGGUUUGUCGCAUCGUUGUUGAUGACAUUCGUCCCAAGGUGAUGUGGUGUCAUGUCGCUUGUGUAUCUUCGUUUUUAGCUUUUUGAGCUUGAAACAUGUGGAUAAUCGGUUGGUGACGGACAUCACUCCCUUGGUUGAUGAAAGUCGUCCAAUGAUGUGGUGGUUUGUUUGUUUUGUUCUCGCAUCGUUCGGUGCAUUCUGUGGUCAUUUGGGCUGUUAGCGACUUGCUUGGUCGUUUGGGCUUGGUGGGUUGCUACUAGUUUGGGUGCCUUCGGGGAUGUCUACCGUAAAGGUGCAUGAGUGGUGUUUGGUUUGUUACGGGUGGUUGGCUCUUUGCUUGCGCAACAACUUCCACCCGGCAUACCUCUUCAGUCUUGUGUCAAUGCUUGUAUUGCGUUGAUUGCAUGACGGGUUUCUUGUGUUGCAUACCUAAUUAAUGGUAUCGUUUGAUGAAUCUGGUUUCUUUUUUCGUCUUGCAUCGCCUAUGCGAUGUGAGAUGAACCUUGAAGCAGCCUUUGUGAUCCACACUUUUGAUGCAUACGCACCGAUUUUGUGGCCCAUUAAUUGUUGCUCGGUCUCAUGGAUAUGGAACCUGGUGUGGGCAUGGAAUCUUAAUGGUUCCUUGUUUGYCCAAGUUUAGCCUUUCUAAAACGAUUGUCU